UGACAGGAUUUUUGCUGCUUCCUGUUUACAAAUUUCUCCCAAUUUUCGUUUAGUAAAAGUCACUGAUCAUUUGAAAAUGGAUUCAAGACUUCGGGAGAAGCCCUCAAAACUGUUUGAAAUAUUCGUUGAGGUGGCACGACCCUCAUCCCCGAGCGAAGUGCCAUUUGUACUUCAACAGUAUCCUGAUCCUUAUGAUGAUAAGG